AUAGAGGUUUGAGUGUGGUGAGUGAUUGUAGUGAAGUGGUGUAGAGAAUAUUGUGAGUGUAGUGUGUGUAGAAGAUAGAGAUAAUGAUUUUAGAGUGGAGCUCUUGUCUCCAAAGAACUUAGAUAUUAUUAGAUAGAGUGAUGUUUUUAAGAUGUUUGAGAUUGUUGAGAUUAUUGAGAUUGGUUACAAAUGGCUCACAAGAGCUCUAUUUAUAGGUGUGGGAAGAUCUCUCUAGAUCCCACUACAUUAGUUUGUAUCUAGAAUUUUCUACUAGCAUCUACUUAAGGAAUUCUCUAGAUACUAUAUAGAAAAUAUCUAAUCUCUAGAUUACUCAUACUUGUCCUAGUAUUAUUUAGAAUACUCUAGAGUAAUCUAGCUAGUGGUGAAUUCUCUAGAUUAUGCAUAGUAUAUUCUCACUUAGAAUAUUCUAGAUAAAUGCAUCACACUUCAAU
rnacentral:lncRNA from 1 species